rnacentral:rRNA from 1 species
GACGAACGCUGGCGGCGUGCCUAAUACAUGCAAGUAGAACGCUGAAGAGAGGAGCUUGCUCUUCUUGGAUGAGUUGCGAACGGGUGAGUAACGCGUAGGUAACCUGCCUUGUAGCGGGGGAUAACUAUUGGAAACGAUAGCUAAUACCGCAUAACAAUGGAUGACACAUGUCAUUUAUUUGAAAGGGGCAAUUGCUCCACUACAAGAUGGACCUGCGUUGUAUUAGCUAGUAGGUGAGGUAACGGCUCACCUAGGCGACGAUACAUAGCCGACCUGAGAGGGUGAUCGGCCACACUGGGACUGAGACACGGCCCAGACUCCUACGGGAGGCAGCAGUAGGGAAUCUUCGGCAAUGGGGGCAACCCUGACCGAGCAACGCCGCGUGAGUGAAGAAGGUUUUCGGAUCGUAAAGCUCUGUUGUAAGUCAAGAACGAGUGUGAGAGUGGAAAGUUCACACUGUGACGGUAGCUUACCAGAAAGGGACGGCUAACUACGUGCCAGCAGCCGCGGUAAUACGUAGGUCACGAGCAUUGUCCGGAUUUAUUGGGCGUAAAGCGAGCGCAGGCGGUUUGAUAAGUCUGAAGUUAAAGGCUGUGGCUCAACCAUAGUUCGCUUUGGAAACUGUCAAACUUGAGUGCAGAAGGGGAGAGUGGAAUUCCAUGUGUAGCGGUGAAAUGCGUAGAUAUAUGGAGGAACACCGGUGGCGAAAGCGGCUCUCUGGUCUGUAACUGACGCUGAGGCUCGAAAGCGUGGGGAGCGAACAGGAUUAGAUACCCUGGUAGUCCACGCCGUAAACGAUGAGUGCUAGGUGUUGGAUCCUUUCCGGGAUUCAGUGCCGCAGCUAACGCAUUAAGCACUCCGCCUGGGGAGUACGACCGCAAGGUUGAAACUCAAAGGAAUUGACGGGGGCCCGCACAAGCGGUGGAGCAUGUGGUUUAAUUCGAAGCAACGCGAAGAACCUUACCAGGUCUUGACAUCCCGAUGCUAUUUCUAGAGAUAGAAAGUUACUUCGGUACAUCGGUGACAGGUGGUGCAUGGUUGUCGUCAGCUCGUGUCGUGAGAUGUUGGGUUAAGUCCCGCAACGAGCGCAACCCCUAUUGUUAGUUGCCAUCAUUCAGUUGGGCACUCUAGCGAGACUGCCGGUAAUAAACCGGAGGAAGGUGGGGAUGACGUCAAAUCAUCAUGCCCCUUAUGACCUGGGCUACACACGUGCUACAAUGGUUGGUACAACGAGUUGCGAGUCGGUGACGGCAAGCUAAUCUCUUAAAGCCAAUCUCAGUUCGGAUUGUAGGCUGCAACUCGCCUACAUGAAGUCGGAAUCGCUAGUAAUCGCGGAUCAGCACGCCGCGGUGAAUACGUUCCCGGGCCU